rnacentral:rRNA from 1 species
UACCAGCUCUUCGAGUGGUGUGGAUGUUUAUUGGGCCUAAAGCAUCCGUAGCUGGCUGGGCAAGUCCCCUGUUAAAUCCACCGAUUUAAUCGUUGGAGUGCGGGGGAUACUGUUCGGCUAAGGGACGGGAGAGGCAGACGGUAUUUUCGGGGUAGGGGUGAAAUCCUAUAAUCCCGGGAAGACCACCAGUGGCGAAGGCUGUCGGCUAGAACGUGCUCGACGGUGAGGGAUGAAAGCUGGGGGAGCGAACCGGAUUAGAUACCCGGGUAGUCCCAGCUGUAAACGAUGCAGGCUAGGUGUUUGGGCGGCCACGUGCCGCUCUAGUGCCGCAGGGAAGCUGUUAAGCCUGCCGCCUGGGGAGUACGGCCGCAAGGCUGAAACUUAAAGGAAUUGGCGGGGGAGCACCACAAGGGGUGAAGCUUGCGGUUU